rnacentral:rRNA from 1 species
UACGGAGGGGGCUAGCGUUGUUUCGGAAUUACUGGGCGUAAAGCGUACGUAGGCGGCUUUGUAAGUUAGAGGUGAAAGCCCGGGGCUCAACUCCGGAAUUGCCUUUAAGACUGCAUCGCUUGAAUCAUGGAGAGGUGAGUGGAAUUCCGAGUGUAGAGGUGAAAAUUCGUAGAUAUUUCGGAAGAACACCAGUGGCGAAGGCGACUCACUGGACAUGUAUUGACGCUGAGGUACGAAAAGCGUGGGGGAGCAAACAGG